UACGGAGGGUGCAAGCGUUAAUCGGAAUUACUGGGCGUAAAGCGCACGCAGGUGGCUGAGUCAGUCGAUUGUGAAAGCCCUGGGCUUAACCUGGGAAUUGCAGUCGAUACUACUCAGCUAGAGUAUGGGAGAGGGUAGUGGAAUUCCCGGUGUAGCGGUGAAAUGCGCAGAUAUCAGGAGGAACACCGAUGGCGAAGGCAGGUCUCUGGACCGAUACUGACGCUGAGGAGCGAAAGCGUGGGGAGCGAACAGG
rnacentral:rRNA from 1 species